rnacentral:lncRNA from 1 species
AUAUUCAUAACAAUAAAAGAAAACAUACAUAAACUGAUCAUGUAGCUACAACAAGGGAUUACAACUCUUAUAAGUCAAGCACAACACUAUACACUAUACAUUAUCUCUUUACAUGUACAUGUCCACACUAGCUAUUACAUAACUCUUCUUCUUGCAAACCCUGCUGGACUCCCUCUGGACUCUGAACCUGCAAACCUGGGGGAUAGGGGAGAGGGAUGAGCUAUACAAGCCCAAUGAGCAGAACUAGAAACCAUAAUGUGAAAACAUGAUCUCAUGGAAUGCACUACAUCACAUCAUCUCAGGGAUCAGACAUGACAACCAACAAUCCCACUCAAAGGAUGCCUGGCCUAGCCAGGUCUUACAACCUCAAUCUGCCUGGCCCGGCCAGGUCUUACCACUCUGUCUGCCUGGCCCAGCCAGGUCUUACUAUCUCUGCUGCCUGCUCUAG